rnacentral:rRNA from 1 species
UACGUAGGGUGCAAGCGUUGUCCGGAAUUAUUGGGCGUAAAGAGCUCGUAGGCGGUCUGUUGCGUCGGCUGUGAAAACCCGAGGCUCAACCUCGGGCCUGCAGCCGAUACGGGCAGACUAGAGUUCGGCAGGGGAGACUGGAAUUCCUGGUGUAGCGGUGAAAUGCGCAGACAUCAGGAGGAACACCGGUGGCGAAGGCGGGUCUCUGGGCCGAUACUGACGCUGAGGAGCGAAAGCGUGGGGAGCGAACAGG